GUGGAGAACCCAUUCACAGUAGACGUCCGUGGAGAACCCAUUCACAGUAGACGUCCGUGGAGAACCCAUUCACAGUAGACGUCCGUGGAGAACCCAUUCACAGUAGACGCUACGUGGAGAACCCAUUCACAGUAGACGUCCGUGGAGAACCCAUUCACAGUAGACGCUACGUGGAGAACCCAUUCACAGUAGACGUCCGUGGAGAACCCAUUCACAGUAGACGUCCGUGGAGAACCCAUUCACAGUAGACGUCCGUGGAGAACCCAUUCACAGUAGACGCUACGUGGAGAACCCAUUCACAGUAGACGUCCGUGGAGAACCCAUUCACAGUAGACGUCCGUGGAGAACCCAUUCACAGUAGACGCUACGUGGAGAACCCAUUCACAGUAGACGCUACGUGGAGAACCCAUUCACAGUAGACGUCCGUGGAGAACCCAUUCACAGUAGACGCUACGUGGAGAACCCAUUCACAGUAGACGCUACGUAUGGCAGCUCAAUCCGAAAUGACCUUUUAAAAAAAAAGCAACGCUUAUAAACCCGCGAUCGGAUUGAAUCCGGUCUAAAUCGUGUGCCCAGGAAACCACCAUCUUUCAGUUACCUAGCCUUAUUGUAACAGACUGUAUUUAAUUAGUUUCACGUUUCUGACGUGGACAUUAUGGAACUCAUAGGAAAUGCAGGCGUCUUUGCUAAGUGUCCAUAGGGGUGCUUCAAUGAUGCAUAUUUUGCAAUUGACAAUUGCUCGUAUGAACUUAGAGCCAUUGAAUAUGCAUUACUCAGUAUAUCCUGAUUAUACCUGCAAUAGAGGCCACCAUGUUUGGGCACAAAGCAUUAUUUUGAUAUGUGAUACAGUACUUUACAUGUAUGCAACUGUAGCCUUGGAUACCAGGCGUAGCCAACGAGACCAGACUGUAGCCUUGGAUACCAGGCGUAGCCAACGAGACCAGACUGUAGCCUUGGAUACCAGGCGUAGCCAACGAGACCAGACUGUAGCCUUGGAUACCAGGCGUAGCCAACGAGACCAGACUGUAGCCUUGGAUACCAGGCGUAGCCAACGAGACCAGACUGUAGCCUUGGAUACCAGGCGUAGCCAACGAGACCAGACUGUAGCCUUGGAUACCAGGCGUAGUCAACGAGACCAGAUUUGGAAGGAUGGCUCCGCGAGACUAAUGCAACGGUCUUACAAGUACCGGUCUACUAAAACAAAACUCACUGUGGAUUUGAUCCUCUGAGUUGACUGACUGGAUGUUACCCACUGAGGUGACUGACUGACUGGAUGUUACCCACUGAGGUGACUGACUGACUGGAUGUUACCCACUGAGGUGACUGACUGACUGGAUGUUACCCACUGAGGUGACUGACUGGAUGUUACCCACUGAGGUGACUGACUGGAUGUUACCCACUGAGGUGACUGACUGGAUGUUACCCACUGAGGUGACUGACUGGAUGUUACCCACUGAGGUGACUGACUGGAUGUUACCCACUGAGGUGACUGACUGACUGGAUGUUACCCACUGAGGUGACUGACUGACUGGAUGUUACCCACUGAGGUGACUGACUGACUGGAUGUUACCCACUGAGGUGACUGACUGACUGGAUGUUACCCACUGAGGUGACUGACUGACUGGAUGUUACCCACUGAUGUGUGCUGACUGCCUGCCUGUUACCCACUGAGGUGACUGCCCGACUGCCUGCCUGUUACCCACUGAGGUGACUGACUGACUGGAUGUUACCCACUGAGGUGACUGACUGCCUGCCUGUUACCCACUGAGGUGACUGCCUGUUACCCACUGAGGUGACUGACUGCCUGCCUUCAGGAUGUUUAUACCCCAACAAGAUGCCUUAUGACCUUGUCAUCGCAACAAGAAAAUGUCUGUAUAUCUAUAUGCACUUAGUCUUCCUCUGUCCCAGUACUAUCAUGUAGCAUUUGUAUAGGUAUGUAUGCCUUUUGUAUGAAUAAAUAUUUGUCAUAUUUAACACUAA